rnacentral:rRNA from 1 species
AGUGAACGCUGGCGGUAGGCCUAACACAUGCAAGUCGAACGGCAGCACAGUAAGAGCUUGCUCUUACGGGUGGCGAGUGGCGGACGGGUGAGGAAUACAUCGGAAUCUACUUUUUCGUGGGGGAUAACGUAGGGAAACUUACGCUAAUACCGCAUACGACCUACGGGUGAAAGCAGGGGAUCUUCGGACCUUGCGCGAUUGAAUGAGCCGAUGUCGGAUUAGCUAGUUGGCGGGGUAAAGGCCCACCAAGGCGACGAUCCGUAGCCGGUCUAAGAGGAUGAUCAGCCACACUGGAACUGAGACACGGUCCAGACUCCUACGGGAGGCAGCAGUGGGGAAUAUUGGACAAUGGGCGCAAGCCUGAUCCAGCCAUACCGCGUGGGUGAAGAAGGCCUUCGGGUUGUAAAGCCCUUUUGUUGGGAAAGAAAAGCAGCAGGUUAAUACCCCGCUGUUCUGACGGUACCCAAAGAAUAAGCACCGGCUAACUUCGUG